rnacentral:lncRNA from 1 species
GGGAGACGCAGUAAGAGUCUUUAAUCCAAAGGACUGAAGAGCAGACCAGAAAGGAAGGUCACCACAGGAAUUUCCAUGUCUUUGGAGGAAGGAAGGAAGAAAACAAACAAACGAACAAAACAAAAAAAAAACCACAAUAAAAAUAUAAAACCAAAAAUGUUUCACAAAAGGGAAAAAAAAUAAAAUAAAAUCCAAUUAUCAGCGUCGUUCACCUAUAGGACAAAACCCCCCCCGGUCGGAGAGUGUGGAUCGGAUGGGGACAUCGCCUGCUCCAGAAAGGUCAGAAACACAGGUGAGUAGCUAAAAAUAACUAGUCUGGUAUAAAUGUCUGAAUUCCAUGCGCUUGAUAUAACAGUCUGCCUCUUUUUGUCUUUUUUUUUCUUAAAAAAAAUAUAUAUAUAGUUAUUGCUUUCUCAAGGGCCGGCGGCGAGGGCGCCCUCAGUGCGGGAGUGCGGCGGGCUCCGCAGGGUUGGCUUUCUUUCUCCUCUUCAUCAGCAAAGGGUUGGAGGAAUCCUCGAUUUUCUUGAUCUUGAUUUGUUCGUAGUCCACUCGCAUGGUGGCCAGAGCGCUCGUCAUCUCCUCCUGCAG